rnacentral:rRNA from 1 species
AUUGAACGCUGGCGGCAUGCCUUACACAUGCAAGUCGAGCGGUAACAGGCCGCAAGUUCCUGACUAGUGUCGAACGCGGGAGUAUUACAUCGAAGCGUGCCCCGUCGUGGGGGGUAUCUACUCGAGAGAGUAGCUAAUACCGCAUACGAGCUAUGAAUGAAAGCGGGGGGCCUCAAGGGCUCGCGCGAUUUCAGCUGCCGAUGUCAGAUUAGGUAGUUGGUGGGGUAAAGGCUCACCAAGGCAACGAUCUGUAGCUGGUCUGAGAGGAGAAGCAGCCACACUGGGACUGAGACACGGCCCAGACUCCUACGGGAGGCAGCAGUGGGGAAUUUUGGACAAUGGGCGAAAGCCUGAUCCAGCAAUGCCGCGUGAAGGAAGAAGGUCUUCGGGUUGUAAACUGCUUUUGUACGGAAAGAAACGGAGCUGGUUAAUACCCGGGGCUAAUGACGGUACCGUAAGAAUAAGCACCGGCUAACUACGUG